AUCCUUUUCCGGUUCGUAAGCAUGAUGAUUGGGUGUUCACGCGGCUGCGUGAGAUGUGCCUUCCUUAAACCUUGGUAGGACGUGGGCACAUUACCCUUCUGAUG